rnacentral:lncRNA from 1 species
CGGAUUUUGGAUAGGAUGGGAGUAACAAAAGAUGAAAGGGUUGACCUGGUUACAUUCAUGUUUAAAGGUGAAGCACUUCACUGGUGGGAAGCGACAGAAAGAUUGUUGACAAUGCCAGUACCUGGAAUUGAACCUCCAAGGCUCCAGUUAAUUACUUGGGCACGCUUUGUAAAAGUUUUUGAGGAACAAUACCAUCCAGAAGCGUACAAAUUCAAGAAGGAGCAAGAAUU